GCAUUAUGGCCAGUAUGCUAAAGGUGCCAGAUCCUGUCUGAUUUUGGAAGUUAAGCAGGGUCAGUCCUGGUGUUCAUGCCUCGACGGGAAACCACUAAUGAAGACCAGGUGCUACAUGCU
rnacentral:rRNA from 11 species